rnacentral:lncRNA from 1 species
UUUUAGUUGAUGGGGAGUAGUAGUUCAAGGGAGGGGAGUUGGAGGCAGAAUUCAUCAAUCCGUUCAAAUUCACCUUCAUGGAGUUCUCAUCAGGGGUAUCCUCAGUCCUCGUAUGGUCAUGAAAGCCAGGGUUAUGCACCUCGUGAAAGCCAGGGUUAUGCACCUCAAUAUAGCUACGCCUCCCCACAGUAUUAUCCACCUACACAGGACCCACAGUAUCAUCCACCUACACAAGACCCACAUUAUUAUCCACCUACACAAGACCAUGACAGGGAUAAAAGGACGCUCGACAGGAGGUAUUCAAGAAUUGCAG